rnacentral:rRNA from 1 species
CGUAGGUGGCAAGCGUUGUCCGGAUUUAUUGGGUUUAAAGGGUACGUAGGCGGCCUAUUAAGUCAGUGGUGAAAUAUUUCAGCUUAACUGGAAUUGUGCCAUUGAUACUGAUGGGCUUGAGUACAGAUGAGGUAGGCGGAAUUGACGGUGUAGCGGUGAAAUGCUUAGAUAUCGUCAAGAACACCUAUAGCGAAGGCAGCUUACUAGGCUGUAACUGACGCUGAGGCACGAAAGUGUGGGGAUCAAACAGGAUUAGAUACCCUGGUAGUCCACACUGUAAACGUUGAUUACUCGCUGUGUGCGAUAUACAGUACGCGGCCAAGCGAAAGCGCUAAGUAAUCCACCUGGGGAGUACGCCGGCAACGGUG